AUGAACGCUAGCGGCAGGCCUCAUCCAUGCAAGUCGGACGGGAUUCAGGAGCUUGCUUCUGCUGAGAGUGGCGCACGGGUGCGUAACACGUAUGUAACCUACCUUUAUCAGGGGGAUAGCCUCUCGAAAGAGAGAUUAAGCCCGCAUAAAAUCACAGCACAGCAUUGUGUAAUGAUCAAAUAUUUAUAGGAUAAAGAUGGGCAUGCGGAACAUUAGCUAGAUGGCGGGGUAACGGCCCACCAUGGCGACGAUGUUUAGGGGAUCUGAGAGGAGGGCCCCCCACACUGGUACUGAGACACGGACCAGACUCCUACGGGAGGCAGCAGUAAGGAAUAUUGGUCAAUGGGCGGAAGCCUGAACCAGCCAUGCCGCGUGCAGGAAGACGGCCCUACGGGUUGUAAACUGCUUUUAUACGGGAAUAAACCCAGAUACGUGUAUCUGGCUGAAUGUACUGUAAGAAUAAGGAUCGGCUAACUCCGUG
rnacentral:rRNA from 1 species